GCCAGUCCAUUUGCUUACAAUUUCAGCAAUAUCAAGAUCUGUGACCUCUUCUCGAAGCAAAGAUUUUCCAGACUUCCGGAAGUCGGCUAGGUUUUUCUCAGCCUCUUCUAACUGGCGUUGAAGGGAAAUCAGAGUUCCAUAUUUGAGCUCAGCAGCACGAUUCAGGUCAUACUCACGCUCAGCAGCUUCCAUCUCUAGGUUGACUCUAUCAAUCUCUUCCUUGAUUGACCGUAUUCGAGUCAUGAGUGCCUUCUCACCAUCCCACUGUUCAUUCAGUUCUUUUUGUUUUUGUUUAAGCUCACUUAAAUCACUUUCAAGCUUGCUUAAUCUCUCUUUGGAUGCUUUAUCAGUGUCAUUCUUCAGAGAGAGCUUCUCCAUUUCCAACUUUAAUACAGCCCUGUCUAUCUCAUCCAACUCCGUAGGCUUAGAAGUAAUCUCCAUUUUCAGCUUUGCAGCAGCUUCAUCAACGAGAUCAAUGGCUUUGUCAGGUAAAAAUCGUUCUGUGAUGUAUCUAUCCGCAAGCAUUGCUGCCGAAACAAGGGCACUGUCUGAUAUUUUAACACCAUGAUGUAGCUCAUAGCGCUCACGUAGACCACGAAGAAUGGAUAUAGUGUCAUCAACAGAUGGUUGAUCACAAAACACUUGUUGAAAUCUGCGCUCAAGCGCUGGGUCCUUCUCAAUAUAUUUCCUGUACUCAUUCAGUGUAGUUGCUCCUAUACAUCGGAGCUCACCUCGCCCAAGCAUUGGUUUCAGCAAGUUCCCAGCAUCCAUCGCUCCAGUUGUAGACCCUGCACCGACAACAGUAUGGAUCUCAUCAAUGAAUAGAAUGAUUUGCCCAUUUGAAGCAGUAACUUCCUUCAGCACAGCUUUUAACCUUUCCUCAAAAUCUCCACGAUACUUUGCUCCAGCAACCAAUGAACCCAUAUCUAGGAGGUUAGGCUUCCGGUUAAUAACCGGUCAAGGACGGCACCACGCACAAUCCUUUUGGGUA
rnacentral:misc_RNA from 1 species